rnacentral:rRNA from 1 species
UACAGAGACUGCGAGCGUUAUUCGGAUUCACUGGGCGUAAAGGGUGCGCAGGCGCCAAGUGUGUGAGGCGUGAAAGCCCGGGGCUUAACCCCGGAAUUGCACCUCAAACUACAUGGCUAGAGCAUUGGAGAGGGAAGCGGAAUUCACGGUGUAGCAGUGAAAUGCGUAGAUAUCGAGAGGAACACCUGCGGCGAAGGCGGUAGCUGGGCCG